ACUAACCCUAACACUAACUGCUAACCCUAAACCCUAACCCUAACCCUAAACCCUAACACUAACCCUAACACUAACCAUGAACCCUAACCCUAAACUCUAACCAUCAGCCUAACCCAAAACCCUAACCCUAACCCUAAACUCUAGCCCUAAAACCCUAGCCCUAGACCUAGCCCUAACACCAAGCCCUAGCCCUAGCCCUAACCCUAACCCUAACCUCUAACCUCUAAAACUAACCCUAGCCCUAACCCUAAACCCUAAAUCCUAACCCUAAACCCAAACUCUAAACCUAACCCUGACUCUAACCCCUAACCCUGACCCAGACCCUGACCCUAAACCGUGACAAUGACCCUAAACCCUGACCAUGACCCUAACCCUGACCGUGACCCUAACCCUGACCCUAAACUCUGACCCUGACACUAAACACUGACUCUGACCCUGACCCUAAACUCUAUCACUAAACACUAAACCCUAACCCCUAGCCCUAACACAUAGCCCUAACCUUACCCCAACCCUAAUCCUAAACCCUAAACCCUAACCAUAAAAACAAACCCUAAACCUAACCCUGACCCUAACCCCUAACCCUGACCCUGACCCUGACCCUAAACCCUGACCAUAAACCCUGACCCUGACACUAAAAACUGACCCUGACCCUAAACUCGAACACUAAACCCUAAAACCUAACCUUAACCCCUAAACCCGAUCCCGAACCAUAACCCUAACACUAAACUAAACCCUAAACCCUAACCUGUGUAGGGAGUGAGGAGGUGGGAGGGACUAGGCUGGGCGCUGUGAAGGGACUCAGGAGGUGGGAGAGACCAUGCAGGGCCCUGUAUAGAGAGUGAGAGACCAGGCAGGGCACUGUACAGGGAGUAAGAUGGUGGGACAAAAGAGACAGAAACCUGUGUAGGGAGUGAAGAGCUGAGAGACCAGACAGAGACCUUUGUAGGGAGUGAGGAGGUGGGUGAGACCAGGCAGGGCCCUGAGUAGGGAGAGAGGAGAUGGAAGAGACCAGGCAGGGACAGGUGUAGGAAGUGAGGAGGUGGGAGGGACCAGGAAGGGCCCUGUGUAAGGAGUGAGGAUGUGGAAGAGAACAGGCGGAGAACUGUGUAGGGAGUAAGGAGGUGGGACAGACCAGGCAGAGACCUUUACAGGGAUGGAGGAGGUGGGAGAGAAAAGGCGGGGCCCUGAGUAGGGAGUGAGGAGCUGGGAGCAACCAGGCACGGCCAUGUCUAGGGAGUGAGGAGGUGGGAGAGGUCAGGCAGGGACCUGUGUAGGGAGUUAGGCCUUAGGAGAGACCAGGCAGAGACCUGCAUAGGGAGUGAGGAGGUGAGAGAGACCAGGUAGGAUGCUGUGUAAAGAGUGAGGAUGUAGGAGAGACCAGGCAGGGCCCUGUGUAAGGAGUGAUGAGGUGGGAGAGACGAAGCAGGGACCUGUGUAGGGAGUGAGGAAGUGGGAGAGGCCAGGCAGAGACCUGUGUAGGGAGUGAGGAGGUGGGAGAGAAUAGGCAGAAACCUGUGUAGGGAUUGAGAAGAUGGUAGACAGCAGGCAGGGCCCUGUGUAGGGAGUGAAGAGGUGGGAGAACCAUUCAGAGACCUGCAUAGGGAGUGAGGAGAUGGGAGAGACCAGGAAGGGCCCUCCGUAGGGAGUGAGUUGGCCAGAGAUCAGGCAUGUCCCUGUAUGGAGUAAGGAUAUGGGAGAGACCAGGCAGGGCCCUGUGCAGGGAGUUAGGAGGUGGGAGAGAAGAGGCAGAGAAGAGUGUAGGGAGUGAGGAGGUGGGACAGACCAGGCAGGGCUCUGUGCAUAGAGAAGAUGGGAGACACCAGACAGGGCCCUGUGUAGGGAGUGAAGAAGAGGGAGACCCAGGCAGAGUCCUGCUUAGGGAGUGAGGAGAUGAGAGAGACCAGGCAGAGCCAAGUAUAGGGAGUGAGGAUAUGGGAGAGACCAGGCAGGCCCUGUGUAAGGAGUGAUGAGGUGGGAGAGACCAAGCAGGACCCUGUGCAGGGUGUGAGGGGGAGGGAGCAUCCAGGCAGGGCCCUGUGGAGGGAGUGAGGUGUUGGGAGAGACCACACAGGUCCUGUGUAGGGAGCGAGAAUGUGCCAGAGAUCAGGCAGGGCCCUGUGUAGAGAGUGAGGAGGUGGGAGAGAACAGACAGAGACAUAUGUAGGGAGUAAGCAGAAGGGAGACACCAGGCAGAGCCCUCUGUAGGGAGUGAGGAGGAGGGACAUACCAGGCAGGGCCCUGUGUAAGGAGUGAGGAGGUGGGAGAAUCCAGGCAGACACCUGUGUAGGGAGUGAGGAGCUGGAAGAGACCAGGCAGGGACCUGUGUAGGUCCUGAGGAGGUGGGAGAGGCCAGGCAGCGUCCUGUGUAGGGAGUGAGAAGGUGGGAGAGACCAGGCAGGGCCCUAUGUUGGGAGUGAGGAUGCAGGAGAGAAGAGGCAGAGAUGUGGGAGAGACCAGGCAAAGACCUGUGAAGGGACUGAGGAGGUGGGAGAGACCUGGCAGGGCCCAGUGUAGGGAGUGAGUAUCUUGGAGAGAAGAGGCAGAGACCUGUGUAGGGAUUGAGAAGAAGGAGAGACCAGGCCGGGCCCUGUGGAGGGAGUGAGGAGGUGGGAGAGGCCAGGCAGAGCCCUGUGUAGCGAGUGAGGUGUUAGGAGAGACCAGGCAGGGCCCUGUGUACGGAGUGAUGAGGUGAGAGAGACCAGGUAGGACCCUGUGUACAGAGUGAGGAUGUGGAAGAGAACAGGCAAGGCUGUGUGUAGGAAGUAAGGUGGUGGAGAUACCAGUCAGGGACCUGUGUAGGGAUUGAGGAAGUGGGAGAGACCAGGCAGGACCCUGUGUAGGGAGUGAGGAGGUGGGAGAGACCAUCAGGGCCCUGUGUAGGGAGUGAGGAAGUGAUAGAGAACAGGUAAGGCCCUGCAUACACAGUGAGGAGUUGGGAGAGACCACCCAGAUACCUGAGUAGGGAGUCAGGAUGUGGGAGAGAUCAGGCAGAGCCCUGUGUAGGAAGUGAGGUGUUAGGAGAGACCAGGCAGGGCCCUGUGUAGGGAGUGAGGAGGUGGGAGAGACCAGGCAGUGGCUUGUUUAGGGAGUGAGCAGGUGCGAGAGAACAUCAGGGCCCUGUGUAGGGAGUGAGGAGGAGGGAGAAAACAGGCUAACACCUGUGUAUGUAGUAAGGAGGUGGGAAAGACCACCCAGAGACCUGUGUAGGGAUUGAGGAAUGGGAGGGAACAGGCAGAGAACUGUGUAGGGAGUGAGGAGGUAGGAGAGACCAGGCAAGGCCCUGUGUAGGGAGCGAAGAGGUGGAGAACCAGGCAGAGUCCUGCAUAGGGAGUGAGAAGGCGAGAGAGGACAGGCAGAGCCCUGCGUAGGGAGUGAGGAGGUGGGAUUGACUAGGCAGGACCCUGGGUAGGGUGUGAGGAGGUGGGAGAUUCCAGGCAGGGCCCUUUGUAGGGAGUGAGGUGUUGGGAGAGACCAGGCAGAGUCCUGUGUAGGGAGU